AGUGAACGCUGGCGGUAGGCCUAACACAUGCAAGUCGAACGGCAGCACAGUAAGAGCUUGCUCUUACGGGUGGCGAGUGGAGGACGGGUGAGGAAUACAUCGGAAUCUACUUUUUCGUGGGGGAUAACGUAGGGAAACUUACGCUAAUACCGCAUACGACCUACGGGUGAAAGCAGAGGAUCUUCGGACCUUGCGCGAUUGAAUGAGCCGAUGUCGGAUUAGCUAGUUGGCGGGGUAAAGGCCCACCAAGGCGACGAUCCGUAGCUGGGCUGAGAGGAUGAUCAGGCACACUGGAACUGAGACACGGUCCAGACUCCUACGGGAGGCAGCAGUGGGGAAUAUUGGACAAUGGGCGCAAGCCUGAUCCAGCCAUACCGCGUGGGUGAAGAAGGCCUUCGGGUUGUAAAGCCCUUUUGUUGGGAAAGAAAAGCAGCAGGUUAAUACCCCGCUGUUCUGACGGUACCCAAAGAAUAAGCACCGGCUAACUUCGUG
rnacentral:rRNA from 1 species